CCAGCCUCCAGCUCUCCACACUCUCUUCAGCCCCUUCUGUGAUAUGUCUCGCUCUUAAUCCUUUUUGCUUUAAGAAAACUCUUCUUUGCCCUUUUACAUCUUCUGUUGACAUUUAAAAUUCCUUCCCUUUGUUCUGACCUUAUUGAAUAGAGAGAAUAAUUUCUUGGAAUUCUCUGUAUAAUGAAUGUUCAGGUACUUACAGAUGCUGAUCGAGUUUCUCCUCAACCUUUCCUUCGAGAGACCUUGCAUCAUUUGGUGUAGAAACACUUUAGGAAGCACUUAGGAAGAUGGUGUAAAAUGAAAAUGCUGCUGCUGUUCUUGCUGUUGCUGCAAAUGUGAGCCCUUUGUAACCCAGAUAUCAGCUUGGGUACCCUGCCCUUAGAGAUGCAAAUGAAAUUGGCUCAAACUCCCAUACCAUGUAUCCUACAAACCCUGAAGUGUUCCCAGGUUCUCUGCAAAUUUUUGUGAAGCUGGUGGUGGUGGUGUUCAGUGGCUCACCCACAGAAUAAAUACUCUGAUCCCCUCACUCUCCUAAACAUUCCUACCAGAAGGCUGGGUGUGGAGAAGAUUUUGACUGAGUAAUGAAGCAGUAGUUCUGGCAGACUAACCCUCCCACAGCUAACAACUAUAAACUGUACAACAGCAACAACAACAAAACUACCUGAAGGUAUUGGAGAGCAAAAAAAAGCAGGCAGAGACUGGACAGACGUCUACCCUCCAAAGAAGGAAAUGGUACUGGAUGAGUUUCUGACUUUUAUGAUUUUGUCUGUUUGUUUUGCCUAAGCAUAGGCUCCAGUCUGUGCCAGACAGGCUGCUAAAAAUUUGUAUAGAAAAUCUGUAGUGUUACUGGCUUGAAGAACCAGAGGACAGAGUUUGGGGUAACCACAGCAGCUGGAAAGUGGCUAUAAACUCUACCCAAAUCUUUGAAUGCAGACUCUAAGCAGCUCAACUAAGGCAAAGAGAACUGAAUAGAAAUUUCUGCUGCUGCACACCGCAAGGGAAACAGAGUUUGAAAUUUGAGUAGAGCCAGAUAAAGCAAGAAACAGGAAGAGGGGGCCUAUAUUCAAGAGAAAGGCCAUCAAAGGAGCUUAUUGCCAAGAUGAUCCCAAUGUUGAAAUUAGCAGACAAGUAUUUUAAAACAGUUAUUAUAGAUGUGCUGAAGGACACAAAGGAAAAUAUCCUCGCAACAAGUAAAACAACGGGGAAUCUCAGUAGAGAAAUAGAAGCUACAAGAAAAACAAGUGUUAAAUUCUGGAACUGAAAAAUACAGUAUCUGAAAUGAAUAAUUCACCAUUUCGAUUCCAUAACAGAGGGAAAUGACAGAGCCAGUGGACUUGGAGAUAGAUCAACAGAAAGUAUUCAGCCUUAAAACAGAGAAAAAUGAUGGAGGAGAAGAAGGACAGAUACUCAGAGAACUGUGGACAAUAUCAGAAAAUCUAUUAUACAAGUAAUUGAGCUCCAGAAGAGAGGAGGGAGAGAAUGGGGAAGAAAAAAAUAUUUUCAAUAAAUAAUAUCAGGAAAUGCCCCAUAUUUGGUGAGUUUCUUUUUUAAAAGAAAAAAAAAAAUCCCAAACAUGUAAAUUGCAAACAGGACAAAUACAAAGAAAACCACACCUAGGCAUAUGGUAGUCAAACCAAAGAUGAAGAGAAAAUC
rnacentral:lncRNA from 1 species